UACGUAGGGUGCAAGCGUUGUCCGGAAUUAUUGGGCGUAAAGAGCGUGUAGGCGGCCCGACCAGUCCGCUGUGGAAAGUCCAGGGCUCAACCCUGGAAUGCCGGUGGAUACUGUCGGGCUAGAGUCCGGAAUGGGCGAGUGGAAUUCCUGGUGUAGCGGUGAAAUGCGUAGAGAUCGGAAAGAACACCAACGGCGAAAGCACUCUGCUGGGCCGACACUGACACUGAGAGACGAAAGCUAGGGGAGCGAAUGGG
rnacentral:rRNA from 1 species